UAUGAGGCACGAGUAGCUUUCUCAGCAUCAGACAGGGGUGAAGGCGUUAUUUCUUGAGAUGCUACUUUGAGAAUGUAACCCUCCCAAGGUCUAAUGAGAGGGAAACUUGUCUUACGGCACCAAUUGAAAAACAACUAAUCAACGACAUAGAAGACUCACAGUAUAAUGAGAAAAAUGGAAAUAUACACAAAUACAGUGCUUAACAUUUGACAUAGUGGUGUGGAGGUAGGAGACUGACAACAGCUAAGCAAAGUGCUAACUAAGCAUUGUGAAAAUGUUGUAAGGUUGUUGCAUGAGGUAUAAAUGAGUUUUUGUGUCUGUAUGCCUAAGGAUCAUUACAAUCUAAUGCUCUGAUACUGUAUGCCAUUUUGAAUGGAUUGACCAGUAGUUUUUAAAACAUGGCUUAAUUUUACCUAAAUUCAUUUUUAAGACAUGGCUGCAUGUGGACUUUGCUAAGAUAAGUUGACUCUUUUUCAGAGAAUAGUACAGGAGUUUUGGCAAAUCAUGAGCUAUAUUAAAUAUUAUACAAUCUUCUUUACUCCUAUAUGGUAAAGCGAUCAUAUAAAAUGAUCUGUUGUAUUCCCAUAUGAUGCGUAAAGCUAAUUGGUAGUAUCAUUCAUGCACACCAAUCAAAUUUCACGAAUGCAUAGUAACAUAAUACUAACAGGUGAUAAAGGACUCAUUUAAAUUGGUUGCUUGCCCAUAGAAUUAGGUCUUCCAUUCACAAAAUGAAAGUGACUGUUAAUGUAUGAUUUCUAAUAAAAUGUUCAUUAAUU